GGGGCGGGCGUGCUAUACAUGCAGUCGAACGCUUCUUUUCCCACCGGAGCUUGCUCCACCGGGAAAAGAGGAGUGGCGAACGGGUGAGUAACACGUGGGUAACCUGCCCAUCAGAAGGGGAUAACACUUGGAAACAGGUGCUAAUACCGUAUAACAAUCGAAACCGCAUGGUUUCGUUUUGAAAGGCGCUUUACGGUGCCGCUGAUGGAUGGACCCGCGGUGCAUUAGCUAGUUGGUGAGGUAACGGCUCACCAAGGCCACGAUGCAUAGCCGACCUGAGAGGGUGAUCGGCCACAUUGGGACUGAGACACGGCCCAAACUCCUACGGGAGGCAGCAGUAGGGAAUCUUCGGCAAUGGACGAAAGUCUGACCGAGCAACGCCGCGUGAGUGAAGAAGGUUUUCGGAUCGUAAAACUCUGUUGUUAGAGAAGAACAAGGGUGAGAGUAACUGUUCACCCCUUGACGGUAUCUAACCAGAAAGCCACGGCUAACUACGUGCCAGCAGCCGCGGUAAUACGUAGGUGGCAAGCGUUGUCCGGAUUUAUUGGGCGUAAAGCGAGCGCAGGCGGUUUCUUAAGUCUGAUGUGAAAGCCCCCGGCUCAACCGGGGAGGGUCAUUGGAAACUGGGAGACUUGAGUGCAGAAGAGGAGAGUGGAAUUCCAUGUGUAGCGGUGAAAUGCGUAGAUAUAUGGAGGAACACCAGUGGCGAAGGCGGCUCUCUGGUCUGUAACUGACGCUGAGGCUCGAAAGCGUGGGGAGCAAACAGGAUUAGAUACCCUGGUAGUCCACGCCGUAAACGAUGAGUGCUAAGUGUUGGAGGGUUUCCGCCCUUCAGUGCUGCAGCUAACGCAUUAAGCACUCCGCCUGGGAGUACGACCGCAAGGUUGAAACUCAAAAGGAAAUUGACGGGGGCCCGCACAGCGGUGGAGCAUGUGAAUUAAUUUCGAAGCAACGCGAGAUCCUUACCAGGUCUUGACAUCCUUUGACCACCUCUAGAGAAUAGAGCUUCCCCUCCGGGGGCAAGUGACAGUGUGCAUGCUGUCGUCAGCUCGUGUCGUGGAGAAUGUUUUGGG
rnacentral:rRNA from 1 species